AACGAACGCUGGCGGCGUGGAUAAGACAUGCAAGUCGAACGAGAGAAUUGCUAGCUUGCUAAUAAUUCUCUAGUGGCGCACGGGUGAGUAACACGUGAGUAACCUGCCCCCGAGAGCGGGAUAGCCCUGGGAAACUGGGAUUAAUACCGCAUAGUAUCGAAAGAUUAAAGCAGCAAUGCGCUUGGGGAUGGGCUCGCGGCCUAUUAGUUAGUUGGUGAGGUAACGGCUCACCAAGGCGAUGACGGGUAGCCGGUCUGAGAGGAUGUCCGGCCACACUGGAACUGAGACACGGGUCCAAACUCCUACGGGAGCAGCAGUGAGGAAUAUUGGGUCAAUGGGACGAGAGUCUGAACCAGCCAAGUAGCGUGAAGGAUGAAGGUCCUAUGGAUUGUAAACUUCUUUUAUACGGGAAUAAAGUGCAGUAUGCAUACUGUUUUGUAUGUACCGUAUGAAUAAGGAUCGGCU
rnacentral:rRNA from 1 species